rnacentral:rRNA from 1 species
UACGUAGGGGGCCAGCGUUGUCCGGAUUCAUUGGGCGUAAAGCGCGUGUAGGCGGCCAGGUAGGUCCGAUGUGAAAUCUGGAGGCUCAACCUCCAGCGGUCAUUGGAAACCAUCUGGCUAGAGUCCGGAAGAGGAGAGUGGAAUUCCUGGUGUAGCGGUGAAAUGCGCAGAUAUCAGGAAGAACACCAAUGGCGAAGGCAGCUCGCUACACGAAUAUUGACUCUGAGGCACGAAAGCGUGGGGAUCAAACAGG